GACGAACGCUGGCGGCGUGCUUAACACAUGCAAGUCGAGCGGAGAGGCCCUUUCGGGGGUACUCGAGCGGCGAACGGGUGAGUAACACGUGAGUAAUCUGCCCUUCACUUGGGGAUAACCUCCGGAAACGGUGGCUAAUACCCGAUACGACCAGCCUACGCAUGUGGUGUUGGUGGAAAGUUUUUUCGGGGGGGGAUGUGCUCGCGGCCUAUCAGCUUGUUGGUGGGGUAAUGGCCUACCAAGGCUUCGACGGGUAGCCGGCCUGAGAGGGUGACCGGCCACACUGGGACUGAGACACGGCCCAGACUCCUACGGGAGGCAGCAGUGGGGAAUAUUGGACAAUGGGCGGAAGCCUGAUCCAGCAACGCCGCGUGAGGGAUGACGGCCUUCGGGUUGUAAACCUCUUUUAGCGGGGACGAAGCCUUCGGGUGACGGUACCCGCAGAAGAAGCACCGGCCAACUACGUGCCAGCCGCCGCCGUAACAC
rnacentral:rRNA from 1 species